GAUGAACGCUGGCGGCGUGCUUAACACAUGCAAGUCGAACGGAAAGGCUCCUGCUUGCCGGGGUACUCGAGUGGCGAACGGGUGAGUAACACGUGGGUGAUCUGCCCUGCACUUCGGGAUAAGCCUGGGAAACUGGGGCUAAUACCGGAUAGGAUGUUGUUUUGCAUGUCAUUGUGGAGAGUUUUUCGGUGUUGGUUGAGCUCGUGGCCUAUUAGCUUGUUGGUGGGGUAAUGGCCUACCAAGGCGUCGACGGGUAGCCGGCAUGAGAGGGUGUACGGCCACAUUGGGACUGAGAUACGGCCCAGACGCCUACGGGAGGCAGCAGUGGGGAAUAUUGCACAAUGGGGGCAAGCCUGAUGCAGCGACGCCGCGUGGGGGAUGACGGCCUUCGGGUUGUAAACAACUUUCGAAAGGGACGAAGCGCUAGUGACGGUACCUGGAGAAGAAGCACCGGCUAACUACGUG
rnacentral:rRNA from 1 species